rnacentral:rRNA from 1 species
CAGUCGCCGCGGUAAUACGGAGGGAGCUAGCGUUGUUCGGAAUUACUGGGCGUAAAGCGCGCGUAGGCGGCUUUGUAAGUCAGAGGUGAAAGCCUGGAGCUCAACUCCAGAACUGCCUUUGAGACUGCAUCGCUCGAAUCCGGGAGAGGUGAGUGGAAUUCCGAGUGUAGAGGUGAAAUUCGUAGAUAUUCGGAAGAACACCAGUGGCGAAGGCGGCUCACUGGACCGGUAUUGACGCUGAGGUGCGAAAGCGUGGGGAGCAAACAGGAUUAGAUACCCCAGUAGUCCCUGUCUCUUAUAC